UAGUGGGUUUGAUCCAGCAAGACCACUAUUGUUCUUCUUAAGUUUACUUUAUUAUUAUUCCUAUUCACCCACUUUUUGGACGAACUACUGCUCCUAGACCGUUUGAGCUAUCGACGCAGUUCGAACUCC